AAUUUCAUACUUUGGAUUUUAAAUAUGGUGGCUGAGCCUCCCUGAUGGUUUGGAUCUGUGUUUGGACCCACAUCUCAUGUUGAAAUGUAAUUCCCAAGCUGGAGAUGGGCCCUGAUGCGGGGUGAUUGGAUCAAUGGGGUGGUUUCUUGUGGUUUAACACCAUUUCCCCUUGGUGCUGUCAUUGCAAUAAUGAGUGAAAUCUGGUUGUUUAAAAGUGUGUGGCAACUCCUCCCUCUCUCUCUUCCUCCUCCUCCAGCCAUGUGAAGUGCUGGCUUCCCUUUGCCUUCCACCAUGAUUGUAAGUUUCCUGAGACAUCCCCAGAUGCCAAGCAGAUGCCACCAUCACAUUUCCUGUACAGCCUGUGGAACUAACCCAUGGAAUCCUGAGAAUAUAUCCAUAGGAGUUUAUAAGGUUAAAAAAAAAAGAGGAAAACCAUUGAAAGAGAUUGACCUAUAAAUAAUGACCUUCAGCACUGCUCAGGAAAACUACAUCUCCAACUGUAACAGCACCUCCACUUAAUCUGCUUUAUUUUCUUAACUUCUUUUGUUUGAGAAAGCAGGAUGUACUGGGUUUCUUGUUUCAAGGGGUCUCAAGCUAAGGAUGGAUGACAAUUUAACAGAGAUAUCGUAGCAAGGAUUCAUGCAUUGGCAGGAAGGUUACCCUAAAUAAUCUCUAAAGUAUCUCCGUCUAUGAGAAGCCAUGAUUUUAUGAAAGCGUGAUGGGCCCUAGGGCUAGGAAGAGAAAACAAGGAGGUGAAAUUAGCAGAAACUAGUUGCUCAGAAAAUUGACAAUGAGUAGUUGAUCCUCAGACCUUCUGAGCUGUAGACAACAGGGUCUCAGAGGAAAGGCCCUGUAGAGCUGGUGCUCAGACUUCUGAGGAAGAGGCUCCACUUAGCUGUUGCUGGUACCUCUGUCGGGGCAGCACAAGGCUAGUCUGGAACUACCAACAGAAGCUGGGUUUAUCUUAAAAAUUCAAAUUUGGUUUUACAUUUGAAAAUCAAUCAAAUUUAUUCAUCACAUUAGUGAACUAAAGAGAAGAAGCCAUUUGAUUAUCUCAAUAGACAAAAAAGCAUUCAACAAAAUCCAACACCUAUUUGAAUAUAUAAAAAUAUUAGGCUAACAUCAAAAUUAAUAUUGAAACAGUAAAUUAUUUCACAUUCAGAGCAGGAAUAAAGCAAGGAUGUUCUCACCAUUUCUAUUCAACAGUGUACUGGAAGUCUUAGCAUGUGCAAUAAGAAAAGAAAAAGAAAUAAAGAGUUUACAGCUUGGGGGAAAAAGUAGUAAAACAAAACUGCCUUUAUUCACAGACAACAUGAUUGUGUGCAUAGAAAAUCCUAAAAAUCUACAACAGAGCUGCUAGGACUAAUGAGGGUUUUAAUGAGGUCUUAGGAAAUAAUAUCAAUAUAUAAAAUUCAACUAUAAUUCUAUAUACUAACAAAAAAUAUUAGGCAAUAAAAAUUUUAGAUGGUAUGUACAGUAGUAUCAACAAAUAUUAAAUGCUUCUAGAUAAAUUUAACAAAAUAUGUAGAAGACAUGUACAAUGAAAACAGAAAUACAUUGCUGAGAAAUUAAAGACCAAAAUAAUUGGAGAAAAAACAUGUGUUUAUG
rnacentral:lncRNA from 1 species